CCUACGGGGUGCAGCAGUGGGGAAUAUUGGGCAAUGGGCGCAAGCCUGACCCAGCAACGCCGCGUGAAGGAAGAAGGCUUUCGGGUCGUAAACUUCUUUUGUCAGGGAAGAGUAGAAGACGGUACCUGACGCAUAAGCCACGGCUAACUACGUGCCAGCAGCCGGGGUAAUACGUAGGUGGCAAGCGUUGUCCGGAUUUAAUGGGUGUAAAGGGCGUGUAGCCGGGUUGACAAGUCAGAUGUGAAAUCCUGCGGCUUAACCGCAGAACUGCAUUUGAAACUGUUGAUCUGGAGUACGGGAGAGGCAGACGGAAUUCCUAGUGUAGCGGUGAAAUGCGUAGAUAUUAGGAGGAACACCAGUGGCGAAGGCGGUCUGCUGGACAGCAACUGACGGUGCGGCGCGAAAGCGUGGGGAGCAAACAGGAUUAGAUACCCGGGUAGUC
rnacentral:rRNA from 1 species